rnacentral:rRNA from 1 species
GAUGAACGCUGGCGGCGUGCUUAACACAUGCAAGUCGAACGAGAAGUGGAGACGGAAACCUUCGGGCGGAAGACUUUACUUCGAGUGGCGGACGGGUGAGUAACGCGUGGGUAACCUGCCUCAUACAGGGGGAUAACAGUUGGAAACGACUGUUAAUACCGCAUAAGACCACAGCACCGCAUGGUGCGGGGGUAAAAACUCCGGUGGUAUGAGAUGGACCCGCGUUCGAUUAGCCAGUUGGCGGGGUAACGGCCCACCAAAGCGACGAUCGAUAGCCGAUCUGAGAGGAUGACCGGCCACAUUGGGACUGAGACACGGCCCAAACUCCUACGGGAGGCAGCAGUGGGGAAUAUUGCACAAUGGGGGAAACACUGAUGCAGCGACGCCGCGUGAGUGAAGAAGUAUUUCGGUAUGUAAAGCUCUAUCAGCAGGGAAGAAAAUGACAGUACCUGAGUAAGAAGCCCCGGCUAACUACGUG